ACGCUAGCGGCAGGCUUAACACAUGCAAGUCGAGGGGUAACAGGGAGCUUGCUCCGCUGACGACCGGCGCACGGGUGCGUAACGCGUAUAGAACCUACCUUUUACAGAGGGAUAGCCUUUAGAAAUGAAGAUUAAUACCUUAUGGUAUUGUAGACUGGCAUCAGUUUAUAAUUAAAGAUUUAUCGGUAAAAGAUGGCUAUGCGUCCUAUUAGCUAGAUGGUAAGGUAACGGCUUACCAUGGCAACGAUAGGUAGGGGCCCUGAGAGGGGGAUCCCCCACACUGGUACUGAGACACGGACCAGACUCCUACGGGAGGCAGCAGUGAGGAAUAUUGGGCAAUGGAGGCAACUCUGACCCAGCCAUGCCGCGUGCAGGAAGACUGCCCUAUGGGUUGUAAACUGCUUUUAUACAGGAAGAAACACACCUACGUGUAGGUGCUUGACGGUACUGUAAGAAUAAGCACCGGCUAA
rnacentral:rRNA from 1 species